AAAGAUGUCCAUCAAUGGGUAGAAAAUAUAGCUAACCAAAGAAGUCAAAUCAUAGAUAUUUUGGCACAAAUCAAUGGCAGCUUCUUCGGUAAAAAUACCAGAUGCUCAUGUAUUAGAAGUCAGAUUGUAUUUUAUCUCCUUCACUCGAAAAAUGAACAAAUUAAUCCCUGUACAUUAGAGUAAAGAGCAAACUGGUUUUUUCUAUUAAAAAUUUUAUCCAUUUCUACUGUUAAAAACUGCCUUGGCUGAUAGAAUAACCAGACAUUUCACGCCACAUGUACCUCAUUUUGACAUACAAGGUUUAGUUUUAACAGUAGAUAUGAAUGAAAUUUUUAACAAGAGAACCAAUUUGCUCUUUAAUCUAACAGAUAGGGACUACUUUGUCCAUUUUUUGAGUAGAGAGGACAAAUACCAUCCGACUACUAAUACAAAGGCCUCCAUGGUACUUUUACCCAGCUUCUUCUACUGCUAAUGACUAUAUAAAGGACUCUACCUUUUGAGUGUUUCCCUAACAAAUAAAGCAAAAACGGGUUUAAAGAGAUGUGUAUUGGUAUGGGUUUUGUGUGUUGUUAUUGCUUUAACUUUCCCUUUUAAUGGAAGAUCAAGAGAAUUAUGGGAUACUACUAGGAAAGCAGAGGCUCCUCAAACACAGUUAUUUGCAACACAGACUCUCCAUCAAACAGGUCAGAUCUAGCUACUCCAAACACUCCCUUUUUUUCAUUUGUUAUUGUUAAUGGCUAAAGUAAUUUAGUCGGAAAGAGCUAAUAGUUGAUUUGCCACUGGAUGCCAACAGGUUCUUAUCCUUGGGCUGACGGUCCGAACCACUAUAUGACCAGCGGAGGUCUGACAGUCUGACCGCCGAUGGCUAAUGGCUUAGAGUGAUGAAGCAAAUGUUAGCACACAAACACACACACACAGAUAUACCUGGCCCUUCAAGAUCUAUAUAUGCACAAAAGUUGUAAUAAAAAAAUAGAAAGAAAUAAAACGAAUAAGAGGUUAAAAUUCAGGUUUGAA
rnacentral:lncRNA from 1 species